ensembl:lncRNA
UUUUUUCUUUACUUAGAUUUUUGUUAGGUCUGUACAGAGGAAAAAAAUAAUACUGAUAGAAUAUUCUCUGAGAAGAUAUAAUGCCCUCCAGCCAAUAGUUCUAGAAUAACCAGAAAUUACUUUUCAAAACCCUGUUAUUUUCUUAGAAAAUGUCAACUGCUUAGUAGCCAAGGAAUCCAAAAAAGACUGCCGAUGUCUCAUAGAUAACAUGAGCUAGACAUCCCAUGAGAGCGGUAUAGGUCUCUGUGGCCAACCCACGUGACCUGGGAGCUACCCAGAGAUCUACAAAUGCCAUCCUCCCAGGGACUGUUUGAGCCUCACUGGCAUUCAGCAACCUAACUCCCACAUUUCUGUAGAUGUGAGAAGGUGGAAGGACUCCUACUCAUCACGUGUGUGUAAAUACUCAGACAGAUUUAGUCACAGGUCUCCUCCACCUAAAUUUGGUUCUUGACGUGUGUUCAAAUUCUUUUCACACACACAAAUACACCCACCUAUUACCAUUUCUAUAAAUAAUCCCUCCUCUGCAGGCCUGGUAUGAAACUCUAAUUAGGGUUAGUCAGCAUUUACAAAGUGGUUUGUGCUUUUCUCGAGGCGAAGUUCCAGGAGCUGGAGCGCUUCACGACCAUUCCCUCUAGUGUGCCUGUGCAUAAAAGCUCUCCGAGGUCAGGGAGAGUUGUGGAGCCAGCCUGUCACAUGCAGCAGAGAGCAGGUCAGAGCACGUGUCAGAAGCCGAAUCCCCCGCCUCAGAAGCGGUCUGAAACAGCAGCAUGCAGGUGACGGCAGCAGGCUCGUGGGAUCUGAAACGUCAGUGGGCAAGUCCUGCAGGAUUUUUAGAAGGGGGAAACGAUGGCGGGCUCUCCUGGGGGGAUGUAUAUGGGGCUUCCCACGUGGCUCUGUGGAAUCUGCCUGCUGAUGCAGGAGGCAUGGAUUCGAUUCCUGGGUUGGGAAGAUCUCCUGGAGAAGGAAAUGGCAACCCAUUCCAGUAUUCUUGCUUGGAAAAUCCCAUGGAUGGAGGAGCCUGGCAGGCUAUAGUCCACGGGGUUGUAAAGAGUCAGACAUGACUUAGUGACUAAACAACAACAUACACAUACAUUUGUGUGUAACCUAGACAGCAUAUUAAAAAGCAGAGACAUUACUUCACCAAAAAAAGUCUGUCUAGUCAAAGCUAUGGUUUUUCCAGUAGUCAUGAAUGGUUGUGAGUUGGACUAUAAAGAAAGCUGAGCACCGAAGAAUUGAUGCUUUUGAACUGUGGUGUUGGAGAAGACUCCUGAGAGUCCCUUGGAUUACAAAGAGAUCCAACCGGUCAAUCCUAAAGGAAAUCAGUCCUGAAUAUUCAUUGGAAAGACAGAUGUUGAAGCUGAAACUCCAAUACUUUGGCCACCUGAUGUGAAGAACUGACUCAUUGGAAAAGACCCUGAUGCUGGGAAAGAUUGAAGUCAGGAGGAGAAGGGGAAGACAGAAGAUGAGAUGGUUGGAUGGCAUCACCGACUCAAUGGACAUGAGUUUGAGUAAACUCCAGGAGUUGGUGAUGGAUAGGCAAGCCUGGAGUGCUGAAGUUUAUGGGGUUGCAAAGAGUCGGACAUGACUGAGCGACUAAACUGAUAUAUAUAUAUAUAUAAAAUAGAUAAUAUAUAUAUAAUAUGUAUACAUAUCUAUGUAUAUAUCUAGCUAGACAGUGAUAUAUAAUUGGUCAGAUAAAAAAAUCACCCAGUUUUAAAAGUUCCUUCAUCUGUUGCAGAGGACAGUCUGGAAACUAGUUUUCAGCUACAGAACUCUCCCCCUUCCCUCCCUCUAGCUGCUCUGAACUUCCCAGGGCCUCCUUAGGGUACAGGGAGAGUUCAUGGGUUUUGGAGCCAAUUACAUAGGAGCUUAAAUAUUACUUCUGCUGUUUGUUACUGAGUGAUCUUGAGAAAAUUACUUAAUCUCUCUGGACAAUAAUUGUCUUAUCUCUAAAAUGAGGUUACUACCCACCUGGAGGUGUAAGGGCUUGAGGUAGUACACGCCAGAAGGUGCUAUGUGGGUGUGCUCAGUGAAUAAUAACUAUUAUGAUGAAGGCGAUGAGGAGGGGGAGGAAAAGAGGAACAAGGGGGAAGAUGGUGGCCUCCACUCCCCGAAUGGCUGUCUGUGUUUCAGAAUCUCUCAGCGAGGCCUGGCAGAACUAGACUGCUAGUCCUUAGCUGGGGAAUAUGAAGCUCAAGGUAGAGAAAGGAGAACUAGUGUCGAGGAAGCGGUGCAGGGGCCGGGGAGGAGGGGGAAAGGGUUCACAAAUGGCUAGAAUUUAAUAUGUGGUUUUCAUCUUCCGAGCUUUAUAUCUUUACAUACACUCAAGUCCCAUCCGCUGCUGGGAAAAGGGCAUUCACAGCAAUGAGUUCAAUAUCUUUUGAGAAGUCAAGGGCACUUUUUUUUUUUUUUUGCUUAGAAGGACAGGACUUCACAAAGCAUUGGCUGAACAAAUCUCUGGGUCCCCUUGGUGGAUAACCACAGAAUUUCCAGUUACAGCAGCAGGCCCCACUAUUUGCUAACUCUGGCAAUUCUAGUAACUGGGAGAAACCCUAGAGAUUACAGAACAAAUGCCCAGCUCCUUUCUGGAGUCAUGGGGUCAGAGUACACAGCCACAUCAUGGGCAGAGUUGCUGCUGUGGUCUGAACUGUCCAAAGUACAGCAGGAAGGAGGAAGUCUGAGCCUACCCGGACAUGCCCCGAACGACAGAGUCAUUUUGUGCCUGCCUAAGAUGCCAUUCUGUUUGCAAACACAUUCUAUUGGCCAUACCACCUGACAAAACAAUUCCGUCAAAAAGCCUAAUGACAAAUGACUCAUAUUAAAAGAGGCCUGUGCAUCAUUUCAGCAAUGACUCCACAGGCAUCAAUUAAAUAAGGAAAAGACCUGUUCUGAGGCACCACCGUCUGGUAUUUCCCAGAGAGCCGUAGUCAGUGGCUGAUAAAACACAAGUGAUCAAAACUAUAAAGGAAUUUAGCAACCCUCUCCUUGCUCAAAAGCAACAAGAGCCUAUGAGGACAAUGAACCUGGAAGACCUCCAAAAGAAGAGGCGACUCGGGAAAGGCUGCACCUGAAGCCGGCACAACUCUUCCUCAUGCAUAGAAAGCAAAGACCUGGGGUUGCAUGAGGUCAUCCUGUCUGCCACCAAAAGGCAGACUGCUCCCAGGGAUGUUUGGGAGUUUGCCUGGUAGUCUAGGGGUGAAGGCAAUUGUUAUGUCUCCAGGGGAGAGAAAGGAUUGGCAGUGGUCCAUUCCCCUGCUCCUGGCAGUGCUUUCCAAGUAUCAGAAUCUAGACCUUGCCCAGCAUCCAAUACCAGGAUCACUGUAGUCAACCUCCUUCCCUGGAAACCCAGCUUUAAUCAGCUUUUGGAUGGAAGGAAAAGGACAAACCUAACGAGCAUGUUGUCACAGUACACAGCCCCCAGCAGGGAGAGCGGUUGGUGCAAAAGUGGGUUCCAAGCCUUCGGUUCUAGAUCAGCCAGGCGGACACCUGUGUGUAUGUAGACAAAGCUUCAGACACCACUUCUUCAUCACACCUAGUGACUGGCUGUGACAAGCACCUGUGUUCUCUAUUUCUGGCUUUUCCAACAACAAUAAUAUGUGCUUGGAUACCCAGUCCUAGUUCUGAACCUCUUCUGAAAUACUAAUCUGUUUCUUGUUUCUCCACUAUGCAAGGUCAGAUAAAUGAGACAGAAAACACUUUACAGUGUGAAUUUUGAGCCAGAUCUAAAAUUGUUCAUGACUUUUUAUUCAUUACCUCGAUCUCUCCUUUUAAUUUUGAGUGAUUCAAGAAAACACACCCCUCACAUACCCUGGCCCCAACAUUAAGAAGGUAAUGUUCUUAUUCUAAGUCUAUUCAAGAGCAAAACAAAAGACCCAAACAGACAAACAAACCAGAAAUGGGGCUUCCGUUCUCAAGCCCCUUUUCGCCAGUGAUGCAGCGCACUUAAAUCUCUUUACAGCAGCUGCUUCACUGUUAAGCUUUUAGUUGGAAAUAAAAAGAGGUUUAGUUAAGGUCAGUGACAAUUAUUUUCUCAGCACAACAGAAAGGCAGCCCAACCCCAUUAACCACACUGAAAUGGCAGAAGCAGAGUGGGUGGGAGUAGGAACAGAGGAGUACCUGGAAUCGCCAGAUUGGAAAGCGGGACGUGGUGGAGGCGAGGCGGGAGGGAGGCCAUCCAGUCGGCAUUGCAGACCUCCGGUGUCUUUGUCCCGCCGGGGUUGGGAGAGCAGAUGGUCCCCAUUCUGAGUUUCCUU